rnacentral:rRNA from 1 species
CGUCUAGGCGGUCAGGUAAGUGGGAUGUGAAAUGCCCCGGCUCACCCGGGGACCGGCAUCUCAUACUGCUUGGCUUGAGUACGGGAGAGGAUGUGGGAAUUCCCAGUGUAGCGGUGAAAUGCGUAGAUAUUGGGAGGAACACCGGUGGCGAAGGCGGCCCCCUGGACCGGUACUGACGCUGAGGCGCGAAAGCGUGGGUAGCAAACG